AUUAUAAACAUUAAUGACAAAUGGCAAAAUUCGUCGAUAAUUACCAACGAUCACAAAUAUGUUCAGUAAGUGCUCGUAGGUAAAUAUUUGUUGGUAAUUAUUGAUAGAUUCAAACCAUCGGUAAAAUACGUGAUUGGGUCUCAUUCUUCUUCUUACUUUUUGUUUUUCUUUAUUUCUUCAUCUUCAUCCUUCUCUCUUCCUCAUAGGAUUAUCGUUGUCAUCAUGCUACCAACGCCAAUUCCAACUAAUCUUCACUCUCACCAUUCUCCUUCUUCCUCCUCUUUAUCUUAUUUUUCCUCCUUCAGUUCCUCCUCAUCCUCCUUCUCCAACUCCAAUAACCACCAAUGUGUCUCUCCAUCACAUCACUUAUUCACAUCCAAACACCAUCAAGUUGUCAUCACGUCACCACCAUGCCAACAAUGUGUCUUCACUGUUACAUUGUCGUAUCACCAUCAAACGUGUAGUAACUUAUCGUAAAGCCUCUACCUCCUACUCUUCUUUUAUUCUUCU
rnacentral:lncRNA from 1 species